rnacentral:tRNA from 1 species
ACCCAGCUGGCUCAGUCAGUAGAGCAUGUGACUCCUGAUCUUGGAGUUGUGAGUUCAAGCCCCAUGUUGGGUA